UCCACUUCAUCGUCAUCGUUUCAACUCUCCUGUGAAUCACCGUUACUCAAAACCCUCUUUAAAUAUGUACAAUCUCAUAUAUUGCCAGUAAUAUCUUUCUCUGCCGUUUAGUUCAUCGUCAAUGAUCUUUUCGUUUGAAGACUCCGGCCCAUUCGCAUCCCUCCCACUGCUUUCUUCUAUUACGUAUACCCAGUUAACGUCAUCAUGGAAUAUGUUCUGAUUUCAGGCAAAAUGUCUGUUAUCUUCAGAUUUCUCUUCUGCUUUGUCUUUCCCGCCCUGUUAUACAAGAAAGCAUAUCAAAACACAAACCAUGAGAAGUCAUAUUAUGAACUUUGGCAACAACAUUCUGGUGAUGUGUGAUGCUUACAUGCCGGCUGGGAAUCCAAUUCCGACCAACAAGAGGCACAACGCUGCUAAGAUCUUCAGCAGCUCCAAAGUUGCCUCUGAGGAGCCUUGGUAUGGGAUUGAGCAAGAAUACACAUUGAUGCAAAAGGGUGUGAACUGGAAAUUAAUCAUCGGUUCUUCCAUUAGAUAAUG